rnacentral:rRNA from 1 species
UACGUAGGGGGCUAGCGUUGUCCGGAAUCAUUGGGCGUAAGGCGCGUGUAGGCGGUCCGGUAAGUCCGCUGUGAAAGUCGAGGGCUCAACCCUCGAAUGCCGGUGGAUACUGUCGGGCUUGAGUACGGGAGAGGCGAGUGGAAUUCCUGGUGUAGCGGUGAAAUGCGCAGAUAUCAGGAGGAACACCGAUUGCGAAGGCAGCUCGCUGGAACGUUACUGACGCUGAGACGCGAAAGCGUGGGGAGCAAACAGG